AAAAAUAAAGCGAUAUAUUGCAGUCAGUUUCGACCUGACCUUAGACGAAGUCUAUUUUUU
rnacentral:tRNA from 1 species